AUCUCUCCUCUACCCCAAUCUUCUGCCCUCUCCUCUGCUUCCCCGGCCUCCCCCUUCUGACUCUCCUCUCCCCUCUUUGUAUCCCCCAUCUUGCCUCCCUGCUUCCCACAUCCGACCACCCGACCUCUCUCCUCAGACGUGGACGAAUGUCGCGAGCGAGGCCCAGCCCUGUGCGGGUCGCAGCGCUGUGAGAACUCUCCCGGCUCCUACCGCUGUGUCCGGGACUGCGAUCCUGGGUACCACGCGGGCCCCGAGGGCACCUGUGACGAUGUGGACGAAUGCCGGAACCGGUCCUUCUGCGGUGCCCACGCCGUGUGCCAGAACCUGCCCGGCUCCUUCCAGUGCCUCUGUGACCAGGGUUACGAGGGGGCACGGGAUGGGCGUCACUGCGUGGAUGUGAACGAGUGUGAAACACUACAGGGUGUAUGUGGAGCUGCCCUGUGUGAAAAUGUCGAAGGCUCCUUCCUCUGUGUCUGCCCCAACAGCCCGGAGGAGUUUGACCCCAUGACUGGACGCUGUGUUCCCCCACGAACUUCUGCUGACGUGGACGAAUGUCAGCUCUUCCGAGACCAGGUGUGCAAGAGUGG
rnacentral:sRNA from 1 species